ensembl:lncRNA LINC00963 long intergenic non-protein coding RNA 963
AAGCCUCGGCAGGUACAGUUCCUCCCUCAGGGCCCAGGACACAGUGAGCAUACAAUAGACAUUAGCUGCUGUGGUGUCUUGAUUUCAAGCCCAGUGCAGAUGCAUCUGACUUACGAAACUUCAGUGACACCUGCUCUGUGCCAGACACUGAAGAUGGAGCAGUGAACAGCACUGACCCAGCCUGUCCUCCUGUUGCCUGCAGGCCAGACGGAGUCUCACUCUGUCACCAGGCUGGAGUACAGUGGUGUGAUCUCGGCUCACUGCAACCUCCGCCUCCCAGGUUCAAGCGAUUCUCCUGCCUCAGCCUCUCAAGUAGCUGAGAUUACAGACGUGUGUCACCAUGCCCUGUUAAUUUUUGUUUGUUUGUUUUGUUUUUUGUUUUGUUUUGUUUCGUUUUUUGUUUUUUUUUUUUGAGACGGAGUCUUGCUCUGUCGCCCAGGCUGGAGUGCAGUGGCCCCGAUCUCGGCUCACCGCAAGCUCCGCCUCGCGGGUUCAUGCCAUUCUCCGGCCUCAGCCUCCCGAGUAGCUGGGACUACAGGCAUCCGCCACCACACCCAGCUAAUUUUUUGUAUUUUUUUUAGUAGAGACGGGGUUUCACUGUGUUAGCCAGGAUGGUCUCGAUCCCCUGACCUUGUGAUCCACCCAAGGCCUCGGCCUCCCAAAGUGCUGGGAUUACAGGCAUGAGCCACCGUGCCCGGUCAAUUUUUAUAUUUUUUGUAGAGACAGGGUUUCACCAUGUUGGCCAGGCUGGUGUCGAACUCCCGACCUCAGGUGAUUGUCGGCCUUGGCCUCCCAAAGUGCUGGGAUUACAGGCGUGAGCCACCGCGCCCAGCCGGUGGGCAGCCAGUUGUGUUCCGGGAGGAGGAGGACACCCUGGAAAGACAGUGGGGCCAGACACUGAACUGCCUUUGGAAGCAAGUAGGAGCAACAGCGAAGGUUUGCUGGCUCAGAAGCAAGGUCUCGCUGUGUUACCCUGGCUGGAGUGCAGUGGCUACUUACAGGCAUGAUCAUAGCAUACUGCAGCCUCGAACUCCUGGACUAGAGCAGUUCUCCUGCCUCAGCCUCCAGAGCAGCUGGGACUGCAGACACGCACCACAGAGCCCAGCCUGAGUCAUUUUGAUUCUGUAACUGGCUUCCUCUCGGCGGGCAGGCUCACACCCUCCACCCCCAGCUGGAGAUGGAAGGAGGAUGCUCACCGCCCAUUCCUCAUGCAGGCCAUCGAUGGAAAUGUCAGACAGUGCGAGUCCACGCCUGAACACUUCUGGGGUCCGCUCUGGGACUGACACUGGCAGAUCCAUCGUGGCACCCGAGCUCUGUGAGGGCAAGACUUUGUUCGGUUGUGGGCUAUGCCCCCAACCCCUCGGACAGUGCCUGCACAGGUGGACAUUUUUGUUGGAUGAAGGAUUUUCUGUUAAAUGUGUCUGGCACACACAGAAAAACAAAGCCCAGCAGAUGCCGUUCCAUUGUUUGCUGACUUUCAUUGAUUCUAUGAGAAGUCUGCAGUCUUUUGCAGCGUUGUUUUCCUAUGUAUAAUUGUCUCCUCCCACCCCACUCACCCCAGCUGCUUUCCACAUUCUCUCUCUUUGAUUUUCAGCAGUCUGCCCAUGAUGUGCCUAAAUAGGACUUUCUUUGCAUUCAUCUUGGCUGGGGCUCACUGAACUUUCUGAAUCUGUAGAUUAAUUUUCUUUUUUCAAUAAACCUUGGAAUAUUUUCAGCAUAA